GUGCUAAUUUCAACAGCACCCAUACUAAAAUUGGAACUACAUAGAGAUGAUUAGCAUGGCCCCUGUGCAAGGAUCACACACAAAUUCAUGAAGUGUUCUGUAUUUUU
ensembl:snRNA U6 U6 spliceosomal RNA